AUUGAACGCUGGCGGCAUGCCUUACACAUGCAAGUCGAACGGUAACGGGCCUUCGGGUGCCGACGAGUGGCGAACGGGUGAGUAAUGUAUCGGAACGUACCUUUCAGUGGGGGAUAACGUAGCGAAAGUUACGCUAAUACCGCAUAUUCUGUGAGCAGGAAAGCAGGGGAUCGCAAGACCUUGCGCUGAUGGAGCGGCCGAUAUCAGAUUAGCUAGUUGGUGAGGUAAGGGCUCACCAAGGCGACGAUCUGUAGCGGGUCUGAGAGGAUGAUCCGCCACACUGGAACUGAGACACGGUCCAGACUCCUACGGGAGGCAGCAGUGGGGAAUUUUGGACAAUGGGGGCAGCCCUGAUCCAGCCAUGCCGCGUGAGUGAAGAAGGCCUUCGGGUUGUAAAGCUCUUUCGGCCGGGAAGAAAUCGUAUCAGCUAAUACCUGGUGCGGAUGACGGUACCGGCAUAAGAAGCACCGGCUAACUACGUGCCAGCCGCCGCCGUAAGAC
rnacentral:rRNA from 1 species